UUGAAAGGGAAACGAUUGAAGUCAGUCGUACCGACGAGAAAUCAACUUAUCGUGUGCGAACUUGUGGACGUGCGUGAGUUUCGGCCUCGCUGUUUGCAUGUUUGUGCGUUUUGGGUGUACUUUUUCGUAUGGUAGGCCAACGUCAGUUUCGAUUAUCAUAAAAUGACCGGCGGAAUGUAGCUUCGAUUUCGGUUGAAGUGUUAUAGCCUCUGGUAGAUGUGGUGAUUGAGACUGAGGAUUGCAACGAAUACCCUUUGGGCUAUCCGUCUGGCCUCUGAAAGUUGCUCAGGUGCCGAAAGCGUGCUUACGGUCAUCUAAGAUAACGUUCAACAGGUUAGAACGUGAUUACAUUCGUUAAGGAUGUUG
rnacentral:rRNA from 1 species